UACGUAGGGGGCAAGCGUUGUCCGGAUUUAUUGGGCGUAAAGAGCGUGUAGGCGGCUAGGUAGGUCCGUUGUGAAAACUCGAGGCUCAACCUCGAGACGUCGAUGGAAACCAUCUAGCUAGAGUCCGGAAGAGGAGAGUGGAAUUCCUGGUGUAGCGGUGAAAUGCGCAGAUAUCAGGAAGAACACCCGUGGCGAAGGCGCUCUCUGGUACGUGACUGACGCUGAGACGCGAAAGCGUGGGAGCGAACAGG
rnacentral:rRNA from 1 species